CUCGUAGGCGGUUCGUCGCGUCCGGUGUGAAAGUCCAUCGCCUAACGGUGGAUCUGCGCCGGGUACGGGCGGGCUGGAGUGCGGUAGGGGAGACUGGAAUUCCCGGUGUAACGGUGGAAUGUGUAGAUAUCGGGAAGAACACCAAUGGCGAAGGCAGGUCUCUGGCCGUUACUGACGCUGAGAUGCGAAAGCGUGGGGAGGCAAAACA
rnacentral:rRNA from 1 species